rnacentral:rRNA from 1 species
GCGAAGUUCGGGCCAGUAGACGGGUGAAUAGUAAGGGUGCAAGCGUUGCUCGGAAGUACUGGGCGUAAGGCGUGCGUAGGGGAUGGUUUAAGUCGGCUGGGCAAGCCCUGGGCUCAACCUGGGAAUUGCAGUGGAUACUGGGUGACUAGAGUGUGGUAGAGGGAUGCGGAAUUUCUGGUGUAGCAGUGAAAUGCGUAGAGAUCAGAAGGAACAUCCGUGGCGAAGGCGGCAUCCUGGGCCAACACUGAAACUGAGGCACGAAAGCGUGGGGAGCAAACAGGAUUAGAUACCCUUGUAGUC